GUUACAUGAUUGGUAGUCCUCACGCACGGCAGUCAACAACUCCGUGAAGGGUUCGUCGACCAGUUCUUUCGGAUUGUGACUGAAAAAGAGAGACAUCAAAGUCCUUGUUGAGAUGUUUACCUCGAACUGUUGGAACAGAAGCCUCUGCAUUUCCAUCCACCGACCUGCUCCCCUACUGUGGGGUGAACUUCAACGACACACUCGUGCCGGAUGAGAACGGGAGAAUGUUCCUCAGCAUCAAACUUCGAUUGAAUGUGAGAUUUGGGCCUCAGGGUCCGAGCAUCCUCUGGUACAAGGGAUUCAGAAAUCGAGUCCACUGCGCAAGAAUCUUGUGCAGCGGCAGUGCACGGCACGGCUCAAUGUCCACUUUGCCGGCCGUAGUUUCACGUGCCUUAACCAAAUCUACCUUGUCGGAUUACUCUCCGGCCUGUUGCAGAGAAGCUCUCUCUGCCCACUCCUGCGCUCUCUUCGCCAAACGACGAAAGGAAAAAUCCAUUGACUGCAGUGCAGCAGAAACAUGAAAAUAAAAAACAAAGCAAACAGUUUAAACGUAAAAAGGAUUCUAUCACUUGCAGCCAAUUGAUUGAGUGCCAUCGUCGUGAUUAUUGGUACUAGCCUAAAUAGCCGGAUUCGAGAACUAUAGUCAACAUUUGAACGCAACAUCACAUAACAGCUUUGAGCUGAGAGAGAAGCAGUGUGAACCAAAAAUAAGAAACGGUAAACUUUCAUUUAGUUAUCGUAAUCUCAUGAAUAUUUCAUUUGCUUAACGGCUACUAACGAUGAUGUAAUUAAGAAGCAUUUCUACCCAGUCAAAACAACGCAACAGAUUUAAGUUUUGCUUCAAUCAUUUCCAAGAGAACAAGCCGAAAUCCUUCUAAUAAUAUAAUCACUCGAUUAUAUGCUGCCCGUCCCCCGUUUAACCGUCGUUAACGUUGUUUCCAUCUACACACAGCAAUAUUCGUUGGAGUAUUGAAACACGACUACGUCUUUCUACAAUUAUUUCUAAUUGCCAGACAAGUAACAAAAAAAAAAAAAAGGAACGAGUUCUCAGAAUGAACGUUAGUUUGUUAU
rnacentral:lncRNA from 1 species